CCAUGACUUCAACUCCAUUGAUUCCCAACUUCACCACACUAGCACAUCCGCAUUCUCACAGUAAUGAAGUUGUUGUUUCGAACGUAAUCCUGAGUAUUAUUACCACCGCCUCUCCAGGCUGAUGUUGAGUAUUAUUCCACCGCCUCUCCAGGCUGAUGUUGAGUAUUAUUCCACCGCCUCUCCAGGCUGAUCAGCAAGCUAUGAGUGUCAACUGGUAACUAUGAGAGCUCCCGCACUCUCAUAGCCUUCCUCUUCAUCAACGGCAACAUGAGCUGACGAACUACCACUGCCCCUUCUCUGAGGACAGUCCUUCUUGAAGUGACCCGAAUCCUAACAAUAGAAGCAUCUGAACCUGCCACCAUUAUCACCUNNNNNNNNNNNNNNNNNUUGACCCAUAUUUAUUCCCCUUUCCUCUACCUUCGUUAUCACUUCUAUCCCUCAUCACAUUUAACCCUUCCGCACUAUCAUCAACCCUCAAGUCUCUCAACUUUGUCAACUCCUUGGUCCUCAAAGCCGAUUGAACUUCAUCCAAUGUGACAGUACCUUCUUUGCCAUAAAGCAACGCAUCCUUG
rnacentral:lncRNA from 1 species